UCUAUAACAGGGCACGAAGCCCUCAGGGGGUGGGGCUGGGGACCUUUAAAAGAGCGUCAAAGCCCCGCCAUCCUUCACUCGACCCGGCCCUCCCCCACCGUUCGGCGCCGCUUCCGCUAGCGCCCCUGGCACGUGACGGUGGAAGUCGCAGACUCCGCGCGGCCCCCGCGUCCCCCGCCUUGCCUCGCCUUGCCUCGCCUCGCUUCCCCUCGCCUCCCCUCGCGAGCCUCAAGAUGGCGUCGCUCUGGCGGCUGCGGCGCUGUUGAAUGGAGAAAGCUUUAUUGUUCCCCGCGCCGCCGCCACCAUCCCCAUCACCUCUUGGAGCCCGAGUGUUCGCGUGUCCUCCAAGCCGCUGUCAAUAAAGAACAGACAGUUUGAAUCGGCGGCGCCGAGCAGCUGGUGCUGAUCGUCAAGGAGGCGUUUUGGCAGAAGGGCUAACAGCACUCUUCUUGCCCCUGGCUGGAGCAAUGGAGCUUCCCAACUACAGCUGCCAGUUGCUGCAGCAGCUGUAUAUGCUCUGCAAGGAGAGACAGUUCUGUGACUGCACCAUUUCUAUUGGGACAGUUUAUUUCAGGGCCCAUAAACUGAUCUUGGCCGCUGCCAGCCUCCUCUUUAAAACGUUGCUGGACAAUACAGACACGAUCUCUAUUGAUGCAUCUGUUGUGAGUCCAGAUGAGUUUGCUCUCCUGUUAGAAAUGAUGUACACUGGCAAGCUCCCUGUGGGCAAACACAACUUCUCCAAGAUCAUCUCCUUAGCUGACAGCCUGCAGAUGUUUGACGUGGCAGUUAGCUGUAAGAAUCUGCUCACCAGCCUCGUGAGCUGCUCUGGUCCAAGUCAAGUAAUAAGAGAUGCGUCCCCUCAGACAGUGGAGCCGUGCAAAAAGGAUGCUGAUAGGCUGCUGGUCGAGAAUCCUUCCCCGAAGAACGUGCUUGUGUCUUCCCAUUCAGGAGAGGGUCCAUCCCCUCCUGUGGCUCUGAAGGCUGACACUGUGGUGGUGGUCAGUGCAAUGACCCAAGAAGCUGGGGAGGUGAAUCCUGCUGCUGCCACCCAGGAAGAGGCUCUGGAGAUUGAAAUGAAGCACGCAGCUUCACCGCCAGAGACUGCCAACAUCCCCCAAAUGCAUUCUCUUUCUCCUGGGAAAGAAGUGGUAGGUGAGGAGGUGGAGGAAGAGGAGGUGGUGGAAGCAGCAUGUACGUCUCAGAAAAUGACAGGGAACGUCACCAAACCAGAGCAUGAGAGGAAAUUGUCUAAGCUGGAUUUCCUUCUGCAAAACGAAAGCAUCUUCUCUGAAGCGCUCUCUGUUGCCCAGGAUGUGCUGAAAAGACUAGAUGAGUGUAGAGACAUUAAAAGUCCCCACAAGGAGGCCAUCUUGGAGUGUCUGGAAGCUAAAGAAGGAAUCUCAGCAUUCAAAAGAAUCCUCAAUAAAGUCAGAAACAAUGAGUGCCUCGAUGUUGAGACUGUGGUGUCUUUGUUGGAGCUGUUCCAGGACAGCCACCCUGAAAUAAGAGCAGCACUGCGAAAGCGAGAGCCAGAAGAUGGAGAAAACAUGCAGCUGAAAAGGAGCACCAAGGAGGGAAAGACCUUGUCCAUCCUGUUACUGGAACACAAAGAGGACCUGAUACAGAGUGUAACCCAGCUGAGACCCAUUAGGGAGUUCCUAGAGACAGCCCCGGGGGAGCUCCUGACCUGUGUGGAAAAAGAGGUGAUUUUGAAUUGCUGCGAGGGUGGAACACCCAAGGAGACAAUAGAAAAUUUGCUGCACAGAGUGACUGAAGAGAAAACACUGACUGCUGAGAGUUUGGUUAAACUCCUUCAGGCUGUGAAGAUCACAUUCCCCAACUUGGACCUUCUGCUGAAGGAUUUACAGAAACAAGCAAGUGUGCCAAGCACCGCAGUCCAACCAAGCCCUGAUGAUUUUGGGACUGAGCUCUUGAGACGAUACCAUGAAAACCUCUCUGAAAUUUUCACUGACAAUGAGAUGUUACUAAAGGUGAUCUCAUCUGCAAGCAGUUUAACUUCUGGAGAAAGAGAGGCCAUGGAACAGCUCGUGAAAGGCGACAGUGGGCACGGUGGCUUCGGCGCCCUGGUCUCCGCAGUGCUGGAAGGACAGCCCCUGUUGGGGAGGGCCGUGUGGAAGGUGCUGCUGGGGGCUCAGACAGUUGAGCCGGGCCCGCUGAACCUGCUCAUGGAGAUGAUGCACAAGGAGCCUGGCGCUGACUAUUUCUUCCAAGCAGUGGCCACCCCAGAAAGUGCUACUAUAGAAAUCAUCUUGAGACAUGGCAAGCUAAUCACCGAGGCCAUUCAGCCGAGAGCUGAGCUAAAGUGCCUCACUCCAGGAGAGGAGAGACUGGCGGAGGCCGUGAAGGAGAUUCUGAGUGUUUCCUGUGAGCCAGCCAGCCCUGAAGCUUCCCUGAAAGCAGCUCUUAGCAGAGCCCAGGAAAAGUCACUCCCCACCAUGGAGAUGUGCCGCCUUCUCUGCAGCCUUCAUGAGGUGUUUCCAGGCCUGCAAGCGGUCCUGCAAGAGCUGGGGAGCCUGGGUCUCCUUACGAAGGACAAGGAGCCGGGUGCUCCCGAGCGGUGGAAGGUGCUGGAGGUGCAGGGGGAGGCGUCUGCCAGGAGUCCUGCUGAGCCUGGGGAAGGGAGUGCUAAGGAGAAGGAGGCGGGGCUGGAGGAGCUGGGGAGCAGCGCCGCCCCCUCCCCCAAGAAGAGCUUUGUCUGCGCGGCCUGUGACAAGAGCUUCCAUUUCUACUGCCGCCUCAAAGUGCACGUGAAGCGCUGUCGCGCGGCCCAGGGGAAGCAGGUGCCGUGCAGGGAAUGCGGCGAGACAAAGGCCUCCAAGAAAGAGCUGGAGAAGCACCUGCAGGAGGCCCACGGUGGGGCCGGGGCACCAGGCACCCCGAAGAAGAAGAAGAGGAGGCUCCCCGUGACCUGCGACAUCUGUGGCAGAGAGUUCGCUCACGCCUCUGGAAUGCAGUACCACAAGCUGACAGAACAUUUUGAUGAGAAGCCUUUCUCGUGUGAAGAAUGCGGAGCCAAGUUUGCGGCCAAUUCGACGCUGAAGAACCAUCUCCGCCUUCACACUGGGGAUCGCCCUUUCAUGUGCAAGCACUGCCUUAUGACUUUCACACAGGCGUCCGCCCUGGCUUAUCACACCAAGAAGAAGCACGCUGAAGGGAAGAUGUACGCUUGUCAGUAUUGCAAUGCUGUGUUUGCCCAGUCGAUUGAGCUGUCUCGGCACGUGCGUACUCACACCGGAGAUAAGCCGUAUGUUUGCCGCGAGUGUGGCAAAGGCUUCCGACAGGCCAACGGCCUCUCCAUCCACCUGCGAACCUUUCAUAAUAUAGAUGAUCCCUAUGACUGCAAGAAGUGUCGGAUGAGUUUUCCUACCCUGCAAGAUCAUCGAAAUCACAUUCACGAGGUCCACUCCAAGGAAUACCAUCCCUGCCCAACAUGUGGGAAAAUCUUCAGCGCCCCGUCCCUCCUGGAGCGACACAUGGUGACCCACGUCCGAGGGAAGCCUUUCAGCUGCGGCAUCUGUGACAAGGCCUACCAGCAAUUGUCUGGUUUGUGGUAUCACAACCGGACCCACCACCCCGACGUGUUUGCUGCCCAGAACCACCGGUCCUCCAAGUUCUCUGCACUGCAGUGCAGCUCCUGCGACAAAACUUUCACCAGCACGGCCGCUCACAAGAAGCAUGUCAAGGCAGAGCACGCAGACGUGAAGUUCCACGAGUGUGAGACCUGCCAGGAGCUCUUUCCUACCCUGGCCUUGCUUCAGGUUCAUGCCAAGUGCCGGCAUUCAGGUUCCCAGCCCUUCAGGUGCCUGUACUGUGCAGCCUCUUUCCGCUUCCCUGGAGCCCUGCAGCACCACGUGGCCACCGAGCACUUCCGGCAGACAGAGAAUACGUUCCCCUGCGAGGUGUGUGGAGAGCUCUUCACUUCCCAGGCCCAGCUAGAGGCACACUUUGACUCUGAACACGGGAAGGUAGUGGUCACGGAAGCCCAGGUCGCAGCAGCCACCACCCAGGUGGUACAGGUGAUCCAGGCUCCAGAGGCAGGAGCGUCAGCUGAGCAAGUGAUCACUUUGGAGCAGACCCCUCUGGCUGGAUCCCAGGUGUUUGUGACUUGCCCGACUCCCAGACCCCUCAAGCCAGCUCAGAGCUCGUGGCAGUGACGGUGGAGGACUUACUGGAUGGGACCGUGACCCUCAUCUGCGGAGAGGCCAAGUGAAAGCGCUCCAGCACCUAUGAGAGAUGUCGGGGGGGAGCCAGGGAGAGCCACACAGUGACUUACCCUUCAGAGAGCAUUCUGAGUGUGCUGCCUUGGGCCACAGAGCCCACUCUGUCUGGGAUGGAGACCCUGAGCCUGGCCUCUAAUGCAGUCUCUCUCAUCUGCCUCAGAAGCCCCAGAUUCUACAACCUUCUUAAAGCUUUCAGCUCUGCAUGGACCAGAGGCUGGAAUAUGGAUGUUGUGUUCCCAUGGUGAUUAAAAUCCUCUCUGAGGAAUAAAGUGCUUUUCUUCAUGGAGCACCCCCAGGGCCUUAAGAGAGUCAGACAGCUUCUGGCUUAUCGAGAAAGAAGAGGUUUGCUGCCUGAUGACUGGCUGAGGGAGCGGUGAUGGGUGCCCAAGACAACAGGAGGGUGCAUGGGAUCCCUGCCCUCAAUCAGGUGGAAGCAGAGAAACAGGAGAGAGAAGGGGGCCUGAGAUGAGCUGCCUCUUCUCUUGCUCCUCAGUAAGCCGGCGGCAGGAUCUUGUUGGAAGGUCAGACUGCAUUCAUCCAUUUGGAGGGCCGUGUGUGGUGCCUUCUUGGGUGAAAGGAGACGCCAGCCGGCUCCUCCGGUAGAACCAGGUGGUUGUGGGAGAGGCCACCUCUUCUAAUAGUGAGAGUGUGGGGGAAAGGCUCCCUUUCCCCCACUCAGCAGCACCUGCUCCAGAGAUCUGCUUAGCACUGUUGGUGUCCCUAGAAUCCUCAGAAAAAAAGGGAGGGUUUGGCAUAGAGGGAGGCAUUAGCAGGAUUUGGGAUUUAGGGAAUUGUCACAGAGCGAGGUGGUUAAUUAUCUGUCAUAUUGUGAUAGAAUGUCCCAGAGCUGGUCAGACUUGGGCCAGGCUCAGAAAUAAAGGAAGAGAUCUGAUUCCUGACACUUCCUCUGUGUGUGCGCUAAGGCACACACAUGCGCGCGCGCACACACACACACACGCACGGAAGAAAGAGACCAUCCAUGCUAGAGAUGACGGCGAAAGCUGAGGUGCUCCCAAAGCUAAAUCGGAUUUCUUCUCAAUUGUCCAGAUAUAAAAUCAUUAGGUAGAGUGCCAAGGGUAAUUGGGCUGGUUGCCUGCCGGUUGUACCUGGAACAGCCAUAAAGUUGACAAAUCCGUAUGGACUUGAUUACAGCUUCUUCCUUUUGUUAGAUAGACCUGCAUUGGUGCAGACUAAAGAACCAAAAUAGGGCCAUUGGAAAGUUAUGCCUCAUUAGAGUGUUGCAUGGACUGUGAUGCUUUCAGGUCCAUUCUGUCCCUGGGGCUCCAGUCUGCCUUAUCCUUUCUCCUCAUGAAAGGAUUCCCAUUUGACAAGCCUGCUUGCUUGGGUCUGGUCCAACAUAAGGUUGUGGUCAACAGAAAGGGAAAAACAGCCAGGGGUUGAAGUAGAACUGGGUCUAGAACCCAGAUUCCAGAACCAUGACCAAGUGAGCAAAGGAACCAGUGCCAGGGUGGCCGAAGAGCUGUGUGGCUGCAUCUGUCCCAUUACAAAGCCUCAUUACCCCUCCAGAACUUGUCCCCACCCGGGUAGCCCUGGUUGCUAUAUACCUGCCCCAAGGAUGGCAAAGACAAGUUGAAUACCUGGCUGCUGUUGGUUGAUUUUUUUCAUGAAACUGAUGGAUUCCCAAACCCCACUGUUGUUUGGACAGUACCUCCGUGUCCCACGUAGUCCAUCCUUGCCUCUGCAUAAGAUGGAACUAAAGUCUUCAUUCCUGGAUUUCCUGAGUCACAUUUACCACACAAUCUAGCGACCCUUACUUAUAUGCAGCUUUUAUAUUGGUGGUUGCUUGUUUCAUGUGUAAAUUUGACCAUAAGCUCAGGGCAGCUAGAUGGCGCAGUGGAUAGAGCACCGGCCCUAGAGUCAGGGGGACCCGUUUUCCAAUCCGGCCUCCGACAUGUAACACUCACUAGCUGUGUGACCCUGGGCAAGCCACUUAACCCCAGUUGCCUUACCAAAAAAAAAAAUUGACCAUAAGUUCUUUGAGGGCAGAGAGGGUGUGUCAUAAACAGAACCUACCUUACCCUGCAGAUGGGUUUUACGAGAAUAUGUUGCAGGACAGUGUGGAGGACGGUGGGUAGUUCAACACAAAGCAAGCUGAGUAGAAGUGUGCCUGGGGGAUGGGGGAAGGAGCAGAAGCUGAGUUGAGCUGAUCUCCCAGCAUUCCGGGGGUGGUGGUGCGCAGUGGUUAUGGGGGAAGGCACCUACGCCUGUUUGCUUCCUCCUUCUUAGCCUCAGCAGCAUGCUGAGCACUGAGGAUGCCCUCACUACAUGCUUGUUAGGUGAUGGAGUGAUGCCGACGUUGAUGUCUCUGCUCCAUCCCUUCCUGUUCUGCCAGUGUAGCUGAGAAGAGAAGCUUUCACACAGUAGGCUCUUUAAAAAUGUUAAUUGAAUUGAACAUUGCCGCUUCUUGGUUGUAUCACCCCAUGGCCACCAGUGCUGGCUCCAUCAGAACCUUGGCUCAUCCUUUCUGUCCCCCGUAAAGAGAUAAGCAGGAAGCUCAGAGCAAUGCACGUGGACCAGGGAGCUCCCCCUACUAUCCCCAUCAAAUGCUGUUUGCUUGGCCUCGUAACAAGCCCUUCUUGCUGGCUCUUUUCACACCAGGUACUCCCUGGUGAUGCCUGAGAACAUCAGAUUGAACAUAUCAGGACAAGGUCACUGCAGAAACCCACUGUGCCCCUCCAGGGAGGAUUACACAGGUCUGUCGUUAGGGGGUCCUGAGAAAACUGGAUUGGAAGUGGCAAAGCCGAGCAGGAGGGCUCUGGUGCAGAGGAGAAGAGAGACCUCCCCACUCUUGCACCCCAUGCAGGGUCCAGCCAGAAUCAAACAUUCCCAUUAGAAAGAGCUGGCUUCAGAGCUGCCUUUCUUGACGUAAAGAAAUAAGUUGAAUAAAAGCCACUAAAGUAUGAAGGGGAGUAUGAGAUUUGGGCUAUGUGACCCAUUGACAGGUGCUCAUUUAACUGAACAAACAGUCAUUAGGUUCCUACUUCAGCCAAGGCACUGUUCUAGGAAGUCAGUGAAAAUACCGAAGCAAGACAAAAAAGAAGCCGGCCACACAGCCUCUGCCUUCAAAGAGCUUCCAGUCAGUCUACUGGGAGGAGGUGACACAUAGAGCGAUAAGUGGGAUGGCAAGGUGGAAGAUGAUGGGGCAAAGAAGAGGCCUGGACAGCGUAGCACUUUAGAAACAUCUGAGUUAGUAGCAGGCAAGGAUGAUGGAGGGAGGUGCACCGAAGUUAAGCCGUGAAAGAAGAGAAGCAUUUCAGCAAGUGCAGGUGAGCAGGUGUGCAAGACAACCUGUGCAGAGUCACCAAGGGCUGUUCUGUACCAGAGAUCACCAGGGCUAAGCGCGGUGCUGAGGGUGACAGGAGAAUAAAGAGAGGUGGCUCUUCCCUUGAAGGCAUUUAUCAUCUGUUUGGAAAGAUAAGACAAGAUGGAACAGUGCUGAAAAGUACACUUGACUGCAUGACCUUGGAUAAGUCCCUUCUCCCUGGAUCCCAAUUUCUUCAGUAAGAUCAGAUUGGAUUAGAUAUUCCCUAGGGUCCCUUCUGGCUCCAGCAUUCUGAGAGUCUUAUGAAACUGCUCUCAUUAGGGCAUCCCGAGAAAAAUGGAUUGGAAAUGGCAAAGCUGAGCAGUGGGGCUCUAGAGCAUUGAGGCGAGGAGACGUAACCCCCAGGGAUGUACAGGACGGUCAGUGAGCCUUGAAUGGCAUGGCACAGACAUUAAGGAAGACAGAAAAGUGUGGCCUGUACUGUAUUCAUUGAAUCAUAGAUCUAAAGCUGGAAGGGACCUUAGAAAUUGGCUAGCCCCGUGGUGCCAAACUCAAAUAGAA